rnacentral:rRNA from 1 species
AUGGGGCUCUUCUCCGGCAGCGGCAGCAAGUCGAAGGGCAAGACCCCCGUCGUCCCCUUCCCCGCGGAGUUCACCCCGCCUCCGCCUGCGCCGGCUCGUCGGCAGAGGCAGCGGGUGAACGUGCCCGUGCACCAGGCGGAGUGGCACUGGCGCCACCUCGUGCCCCUGCCCUAUCCCGACGUGACGCUGCCGCACGACUGGCAUCUGGAUCCAGAAAGGAUCCCAGUGCCGGCGGCGCCGCGGUCGGCUAGGACGCAUGCGGAGGAGGUGCGCCGCCGGCGGGCGCUACUGACGCCGGAGCAGCACCGCGACGAGGCGUGCGCCUUCGACUCGCCCAACUGGGCGCGCUGGUUCGCCUACCAGGCGGCCCUUGUGGCCGUCUACCGGGAGAGCGAGGAGGACAAGCGGCGCAGGGCGGAGGCGGCUGAAGAGGAAGAGGCUCGGUACGAGGCGGCCAUGGCGCAGGCCAUGGCCCUCUCCGCGGCCGACGACUGCGUGGUGCCACCGGUGGCGCCGCCGUCCCCUCCCCGACGCCUUGUCAAGGCCGACCCGGAGCCGCAGCCGGAGCCGAAGCCGGUCUCGAUCGCGAGCUUCUCCUGGACGGGGGUGGUGCGCGAGUGGGUGUCCGCGUCGCCCGUUUGGAUGGAGGCGACCCCGGUGCAGGAGGCGGCCUACCUCGAGCACUAG